AGCGAACGCUGGCGGCAGGCCUAACACAUGCAAGUCGAACGAACUCUUCGGAGUUAGUGGCGGACGGGUGAGUAACACGUGGGAACGUGCCUUUUGGUUCGGAAUAACUCAGGGAAACUUGUGCUAAUACCGAAUGUGCCCUUCGGGGGAAAGAUUUAUCGCCAUUAGAGCGGCCCGCGUCUGAUUAGCUAGUUCGUGAGGUAACGGCUCACCAAGGCGACGAUCAGUAGCUGGUCUGAGAGGAUGACCAGCCACACUGGGACUGGGACACGGCCCAGACUCCUACGGGAGGCAGCAGUGGGGAAUCUUGCGCAAUGGGCGAAAGCCUGACGCAGCCAUGCCGCGUGAAUGAUGAAAGUCUUAGGAUUGUAAAAUUCUUUCACCGGGGACGAUAAUGACGGUACCCGGAGAAGAAGCCCCGGCUAACUUCGUG
rnacentral:rRNA from 1 species